CUCGUGAGAGGAACCUGGCGGAGCUGCUGGCUAGAGCUCCCCAGGUCCUCUCCUGCCUCCGUCCAUGCUGCUGUGGGCCCGUGAGGGAUUUCUUUAAUCUCCCAACCGGCCCAUGGAGGCUUAGAGCAGAGCUGGCGCUCGGAUAGCGCCGGCUCUGCAUGAGCCGACAUGGGAGAUCCUGAGAUCUCCCCUGCCGGUCUCAAUCCAUAGGUGUGCCGUGGGGAUUAGGGUGUGCCCAGGCACACCCGGCACACCCCGUGCGCACGCCUAUG